GGUAAGAAAAGCCUGUAGAUUUAAGGUUCUAGAAGAAGGUACCUAACUUGUUGAUAAAAGAUGAAUAGCUUUCCCAAAACGAGGACUCUUUCUGUGUUGAACAAAAAAGAUGACUCUUGUGGAGCUUCUGUUCUUUCCCACUUGUUCUUUCAUAUUGGCUGAUGCUUUU